GUGAAUCAUCGAAUCUUUGAACGCACAUUGCACUCUCUGGUAUUCCGGAGAGUAUGCCUGUUUGAGGGUCAGUUUAAAUAAAAAUCGGUGUGCUUGCUGACUUUCGUGGUGGCGCCCGGGCUUUGGGUCAUCUGUCCUUCGGUUAUAUGACCUAACAUUGACCAUAAUUUUUUCGAACGUAUUUAAAUGGUA
rnacentral:misc_RNA from 1 species